rnacentral:rRNA from 1 species
AGUGAACGCUGGCGGUAGGCCUAACACAUGCAAGUCGAACGGCAGCACAGUAUGAGCUUGCUCUUACGGUUGCCGAUUGGCGGACGGGUGAGGAAUACAUCGGUAUCUACUUUUUCGUGGGGGAAAACGUAGGGAAACUCACGCUAAUACCGCAUACGAUCUACGGGUGAAAUCAGUGCAUCUUCGAACCUUUCUCGAUUGAAUGAGUCGAUGUCGGAUUAGCUAGUUGGCGGGGUAAAGGCCCACCAAGGCGACGAUCCGUAGCUGAUCUGAGAGGAUGAUCGGCCACACUGGGACUGAGACACGGUCCAAACUCCUACGGGAGGCAGCAGUAGGGAAUAUUGGACAAUGGGCGAAAGCCUGAUCCAGCAAUGCCGCGUGGGUGAAGAAGGUCUUCGGAUUGUAAAGCCCUUUUGUUGGGGAAGAAAGGGAGCAGGUGAAUACCCCGAUGUUCUGACGGUACCCAAAGAAAAAGCACCGGCUAACUUCGUG